UGCAGUCGAGCGAACAGAUAAGGAGCUUGCUCCUUUGACGUUAGCGGCGGACGGGUGAGUAACACGUGGGUAACCUACCUAUAAGACUGGAAUAACUCCGGGAAACCGGGGCUAAUGCCGGAUAACAUUUAGAACCGCAUGGUUCUAAAGUGAAAGAUGGUUUUGCUAUCACUUAUAGAUGGACCCGCGCCGUAUUAGCUAGUUGGUAAGGUAAUGGCUUACCAAGGCAACGAUACGUAGCCGACCUGAGAGGGUGAUCGGCCACACUGGAACUGAGACACGGUCCAGACUCCUACGGGAGGCAGCAGUAGGGAAUCUUCCGCAAUGGGCGAAAGCCUGACGGAGCAACGCCGCGUGAGUGAUGAAGGGUUUCGGCUCGUAAAACUCUGUUAUUAGGGAAGAACAAACGUGUAAGUAACUGUGCACGUCUUGACGGUACCUAAUCAGAAAGCCACGGCUAACUACGUGCCAGCAGCCGCGGUAAUACGUAGGUGGCAAGCGUUAUCCGGAAUUAUUGGGCGUAAAGCGCGCGUAGGCGGUUUCUUAAGUCUGAUGUGAAAGCCCACGGCUCAACCGUGGAGGGUCAUUGGAAACUGGGAGACUUGAGUGCAGAAGAGGAAAGUGGAAUUCCAUGUGUAGCGGUGAAAUGCGCAGAGAUAUGGAGGAACACCAGUGGCGAAGGCGACUUUCUGGUCUGUAACUGACGCUGAUGUGCGAAAGCGUGGGGAUCAAACAGGAUUAGAUACCCUGGUAGUCCACGCCGUAAACGAUGAGUGCUAAGUGUUAGGGGGUUUCCGCCCCUUAGUGCUGCAGCUAACGCAUUAAGCACUCCGCCUGGGGAGUACGACCGCAAGGUUGAAACUCAAAGGAAUUGACG
rnacentral:rRNA from 1 species